GCUUUCAGAAGUGUUGCUGCUGUAGCUACUUCUCAGUGCACACAUUGGUGGCUCAGAGGCUGGAGGGGAGGACCAGUGGUACUGCAGGACCCCUGCUCAGUGCCUGUCAUCAGUGAACCCUACUGCUGCACAAUGCAUGUCUGACCCCAAAGCAAAGGAAGAAGAGUGAUAACAGAAAUGAACACUGCUGACAAGGUAAACAGAGAGACAUGGCAACCUGCUUGUUAGAGACAGCUAAUGCUUGAGGGAACUCUGCAUUCAACACCAAUGCAAGGAAAAAAUCUUAAGAGAGGAAACCUCAGGAAUAUUUCCUUCGCAAAUUGUAUUUUCAAGGCCUUUCAAUACUUAUGAUAAACAUGUAGGUAAGAUUAAGG